rnacentral:rRNA from 1 species
ACGUAGGUGGCGAGCGUUGUCCGGAUUUACUGGGCGUAAAGGGCUUGUAGGCGGUUCGUUAAGUCCGCUGUGAAAGUCGGGGGCUCAACCCUCGGAUGCCGGUGGAUACUGUCGGGCUAGAGUGCGGAAGAGGCGAGUGGAAUUCCUGGUGUAGCGGUGAAAUGCGCAGAUAUCAGGAGGAACACCAAUUGCGAAGGCAGCUCGCUGGGACGUGACUGACGCUGAGACGCGAAAGCGUGGGGAGCAAACAGGA